UUUUGGAAAGGUUAUAUAAAAGAACCGUUGCAAGUGGAAGUCAAAAGGUUUGGGUCGGUGUAUUGGCGCUUAAAAUAACCUCUUCUUCCUUCCUCCACUCUUCGAUCAUCCACUCGCUGCUCUCUAAACACCACCGGAGAUUCAUCCCGAUCUCUGUCACUCCGCUCCCCUGAGACCCAAGCACCCCAAUCCUUUGCAGGACACUCACAACCAUGUCUAUAAUCCAAAGAACUUGUCAAGAUAUUGUAAGUUUUCAUUCUUAUCAUUUUCUCUUCUCCCGUUUAUUUUAGUUCUCUAGGGUUUUUCUCUAAUUUCGAGUUGAAAUUUUCUCUGUAUAUAUGGACAAGAAUAGAUCGAAGUUUAGUUGUUUUUUUUUUAAGUUCUCUUUUUUUCUGAUUGGCGGGUUUUUUUAUCUGUAAAAUCUUAUAUUCUAACUGCACUGCUGCACAAGUUGUAUUGCAACAUUAAAACAGAAGGAAACUACAUAGUUUUUCUGAAGUUUUAUCGAUCGUUUUUAGGGUUUCCUUCUCUAUCUCGUUAUUGGGUUUUUUGUUUUUCUGUCAAAUCUUGAUUAAGCGGGUCUGGUAGCCUUAUUUUAGAAUGUGUUCCUGCGGCUUUGUUGAUCAUUUGAUAAUGUCUUGUGUGUUUGGAUGAUUUUUUGUUGGUUGCUUGAGAAUGUAUUUCAGAUUCUGUCAGCAUUCUUAUGAAUAACCAAUUUCAUCAUCAGAUGCUGAUGUUCUAGUCAAAUCUCUUUUUAUGGGUGUGUGAUCAUGGAAUACUUCAUCUGCUAAUGUUUAUUCUGUUUCCUAUUUGGGAUGUGACCCUGUAAGAUCGUCAACAAACCAAAUAAACAGUAAUACCAGAAGCUAUCUAAGCCUAAGAACCCAAAAUUCGUAACAUACCAAAUGCUCAACCUCCAUCUGUUCGAUAAAAUGCCUGAGACAUCAGUUGACUCUCAGACUUCAAAUUUGAACUAGGAACUUGGUUGAGAUGAUUAUGUUGGGAGUUUAACCUAUAACCAAAUGAAGUUCAGGAAAUGCUCCAUUGAAGAGGAUGCUAAAGCAGCUAUUGCUUUGUAUGAGAAGUUACACAAGUGGACUGAACUUACUUAAUUUUCCCUUAUACAUGUUCAUAUCAAUUUAUCCUUCUAAUAUUUGUUAAAGGCGCAGAUACCUGAGAUUCUUUGGUUCUCAAAGCAUACUAAUAAGAAGCUGAAAGAAGUUUGAUCAAAAUGGUUUUGGAGAGCACAAAUCUAAUGCUUUUCCUGGUCAGCAUUUUGGCUGUUUACUCAACAAACUGGAUGUGGAUGAGUUUCUUUCUGAAAAAAAAAAAAAACAAUUUUAUUUGAAGGACAUAUAAUAGUAUAACUAUCUGUAAAUAGUAACUCUUUUAACUUUUGCCAAUUGCAAUAGUUAAAGGUUUACUCAACAAAGACGUAUUCUAAAUCAACAUGUUAUUUUUCUUUCCUACUUUUUCUAUUUGGUUCAUGGAUUCCAUGGAAACUUGAAGGAAUUAGAAUGGGAGAUCUCUUCAGUUACACAUUUGGUUGACAAAAUGGAUGGAAAAUGGAUUCCAUCAAAUUCCACAAAUUCUGUAUUCAAAAGAUUUUAUCAUUCCUAGGGAAGAUUUGAAAUUCCAUUAUUUAUUUCUUCAUUAAAAAGAUUAAUUACUGUUUGAUUAAUUAUUUAUUUGUACAUGUCUACAGGUAGCUAUAGCUAUGAGUCUAUGACCCUGUUUGUGGUUUUCCAUAAAUACCCCUCUGUUCUUAAAACUUGUGCUUGUUUAUUAUCUUCAGGAAAUGAUAAGAUAAACAUACUUCACGUUGAACAAAUAAAAAAAGAUGUUGAAUAUUGCAUGGAAAACGCCUUCAGCACUUAUUUCUUACGCCUGCGAACUGAAAAAUCAUAGAAGGGAAAUGCCACAUGGUGUGGUUGAAAUGUUUAAAACAAGUGGUCAACAAAGAGGUGACAGAGGAAAGGCUAAAAGAGGUUAUCUAUUCCAUUUGUUACUCUGCAACAAGAAAAGGUUUUAGAAACUAAAUAAAGAAGUUAUGGUGGAAAAAAAAAAAAGAUGCACCUGAGAAUCAAGGUACACUCUUAGUUCCAAUGAAUAUCAAAUAAGGAUGUUGUAUCAUUUUCAGAACUUAUUAUUCAGGCAAGAAUGCAUCUCCUAUGUAUAACACCAAAAUAAAAGACAAACUUGGCCAUCUCCUUUCUCCCCUGGAUUUUCUUAAAGUUGAAGUCAUCUGGUGGUCUGAAAGAAAAGACUGUUUAAUGCCAAGAGGGAAGCAUUGCUUAAAGGCAAGGAUGCAUCUCCUAUGUGUGACAGAUUAGUAUUUAACUAAAUAAAAGACAAGUUUCCUUAUGUCAUAUAUUUUCUUAAAGUGUAAGUUAUUUUUAGGACUAAAUUCAUCUAACUCAAUCAAUAUGCCACAGAGAGGAUCGGUGAUCAAGUGAAAAGGCUCUUCACUAUUUAUGGUGCAGAUUAAGGAGAAGCAGAAAGAAGUUGAUCGAAAUGUAUGGAAUGAAGCACAACAUCAAGCAAAAAAAAUUGAUGAAUGCCUACUGUGAUAAAACUCAUGAUGAGGUAAUUAAAGCACAAUCAACAACUUAAGGGAUCAAGGCUACUACACAAGUUCAAAAUGCAUCAGUUGUUCACAACAUUCAUCACAUGUUACAAUGUUGAGGAUAACUUGAAAUGGUGGAAUUGAGACCUAUUGUGCUCUACUGUGAUCCAUAAUUAUAUGAAAUUGUUAGGUAAAACAUGCUAAUAGAAAUGUUUUAUUUUUGUUUUUAAAAGAACAACAUGUUCGAGAUCAUGUUCAUUUCCAUAUAGGAGAGUAAGUUUUAAAUGAGUUAUUGAUAUAAUACUCUGAAUUGUUUGAAAUUACGUUAUUACCCUCUUCGGACACUUGAGGUAUGAUUUUCUUGGAAGGUGUUGAUGUGGCACUGGCACAUAUGUUGGAAAGUCUGGCUUGUAGUCAUCCAACUAAUAGACAUGAGGAGGGUACUACAUAAUUUCAAAUUGCAUGAGAUGUUCAACUACCAAAUGUUAAGAAGUAAAGUGUGUGGAUGUUCCUGAAAUGAAGUAUAUACAUACAUCCCAUGAUGAAAACAAAUUUCUAUUUUAUAUCCCAACCAAAAAGGUGGAAGGUGGGAUGGGAACUGACUCUUGAUCUUUCUGUUUGAGUAAAAGACAAAAAUGCCCUCCGCAUCCCCAGCUAUCUACACUGAUGCACCUAAUUCCAAAAUAUUUUGAAAUCAUGAUUCGUUAAUAAUAUGCUCAUAGAUCACCAUUGGCUAUACAAAUAGUAACAAAAUCCUGACAGGGGACAUUCAUUAAUCAGGGUUCAUUCUGUUUCAGAAGCAAGCAACCAAGGUCUAGCAUUCCCUUCUCUUUCCUAUUCUAGUGGAGUGGAGUCCAGGAGUUUCUUGCUACAGUUAAACAACAUGUCCUUAUUGUUAGAUUGGUGGUUUAGGCCCAAAAGGGAAUCUUUUUGCAAUUUUGGUCCUUACUUCAUAACACUUUAAGUACUUUUCAUCUUCAUCUCUUUCAUUUCCAUUGCCAAGGAGCAUGAUGACAUUUCAACAGAAUUAUAUGUCUAUCCUUAAAAACAAUUGUCAUAUAUGUUGAAGGAAUAUAACUAAACCCUAAAUCCUUAAAAAUAGAAUCUUUUUGAAAAUAUGGUUUAGGCCCAAAAUUUAUUAAAAUGACCAUUUUGCCAAUGUCUUCUUCACCCAACAACAUUCAUCACUUUUCUUUAAAAUUCUCUGUCAUAUACGUUUAAAGAGCGUAACUAUUCACCAAUCCCUAAAAAAAAAAUUCUCGAAACAAGAAUAUUCUUCGAAAAUUUGGUACUCAUUUCAUGGUUUCAUAACAUUUUUGGUCCACGGGUCGUCAACUUUAUAAUACAUAUGUUAAAUAUCUGAACAUGACCAUUUUGUCCCCGUCUUCUGCAUUUCCAUGUUAAAAUCCAAAGAAAAUUCAUGUCAUUUUUUUGCUUCAGAUCAUCAGAAGACACAAAUGUAUUUCUUGUGAAUAACUUUCUUCAAAGAAGUUUGUCUUCAUUGGAGCUUCCAAGAUCUCUUCUUAUAUGAUUGUUACUCUAUCAUGACAAAGUUAUUAUUCUUCAUUUAUUUUUUUGGACACAUACUUCAUUCUUUUUAUAAAUAUAGGUAAUAUACUUUAUUUUUUACCCA